rnacentral:rRNA from 1 species
AGUAAAUAGAUACCCGGGUAGUCCACGCCGUAAACGAUGUCGACUUGGAGGUUGUGCCCUUGAGGCGUGGCUUCCGGAGCUAAACGCGUUAAAGUCGACCGCCUGGGGAGUACGGCCGCAAGGUUAAAACUCAAAUGAAUUGACGGGGGCCCGCACAAGCGGUGGAGCAUGUGGUUUAAUUCGAUGCAACGCGAAGAACCUUACCUACUCUUGACACCCAGAGAACUUAGCAGAGAUGCUUUGGUGCCUUCGGGAACUCUGAGACAGGUGCUGCAUGGCUGUCGUCAGCUCGUGUUGUGAAAUGUUGGGUUAAGUCCCGCAACGAGCGCAACCCUUAUCCUUUGUUGCCAGCGGUUAGGCCGGGAACGUCAAAGGAGACUGCCAGUGAUAAACUGGAGGAAGGUGGGGAUGACGUCAAGUCAUCAUGGCCCUUACGAGUAGGGCUACACACGUGCUACAAUGGCGCAUACAAAGAGAAGCGACCUCGCGAGAGCAAGCGGACCUCAUAAAGUGCGUCGUAGUCCGGAUUGGAGU